GAGGAUAAAUAUGGAUAAGAAACUACAAACCAAAAGAAAUAGAGGAGAUUUGGGGAACAAGUGUAAACACAGUCAAAUCACACCCCAAACCUCUAAUUCAAUCCUCUUCUUGACUCCAUUAUUCACAAUUUUUUUUUCUCUAUUUUUUCUGUUUUUUUUUUCAUCUUGUCUCUUUUCUUUUCUCUCUAUGAAGACACAACUCCAAGAGACA
rnacentral:lncRNA from 1 species